rnacentral:rRNA from 1 species
AUUGAACGCUGGCGGAAUGCUUUACACAUGCAAGUCGAGCGGCAGCGCGGCCUUCGGGCUGGCGGCGAGCGGAGAACGGGUGAGUAAUGCAUCGGAACAUGCCCAGUCGUGGGGGAUAACACUUCGAAAGAAGUGCUAAUACCGCAUACGUCCUGAGGGGGAAAGCGGGGGAUCGCAAGACCUCGCGCGAUUGGAGUGGCCGAUGUCAGAUUAGCUAGUUGGUGGGGUAAAGGCCUACCAAGGCGACGAUCUGUAGCUGGUCUGAGAGGAUGAUCAGCCACACUGGGACUGAGACACGGCCCAGACUCCUACGGGAGGCAGCAGUGGGGAAUUUUGGACAAUGGGGGCAACCCUGAUCCAGCCAUUCCGCGUGAGUGAAGAAGGCCUUCGGGUUGUAAAGCUCUUUCGGCAGGAACGAAACGGUGGGCUCUAACAUAGUCCGCUAAUGACGGUACCUGAAGAAGAAGCACCGGCUAACUACGUG